CCUACGGGUGGCAGCAGUGAGGAAUAUUGGUCAAUGGGCGUAAGCCUGAACCAGCCAAGUCGCGUGAGGGAUGAAGGUUCUAUGGAUCGUAAACCUCUUUUAUAAGGGAAUAAAGUGUGGGACGUGUCCUAUUUUGUAUGUACCUUAUGAAUAAGGAUCGGCUAACUCGGUGCCAGCAGCCGCGGUAAUACGGAGGAUCCGAGCGUUAUCCGGAUUUAUUGGGUUUAAAGGGUGCGUAGGCGGCAUUAUAAGUCUGCGGUGAAAGUCUGUGGCUCAACCAUGGAAUUGCCGUUGAAACUGGGGGGCUUGAGUAUGUGUGAGGCAGGCGGAAUGCGUGGUGUAGCGGUGAAAUGCUUAGAUAUCACGCAGAACCCCGAUGGCGAAGGCAGCCUGCCAAGCCAUGACUGACGCUGAUGCACGAAAGCGUGGGGAUCAAACAGGAUUAGAUACCCCUGUAGUC
rnacentral:rRNA from 1 species